rnacentral:tmRNA from 1 species
GGGCUUGUACUGGUUUCGACGGGGUAUUUGAGGUUUGGGAAGCCAUCCGUGUGGGCACGCGUCAUCAGCUCAACUUAAAAUUAAACGCAGAAGAUAAUUUUGCAUUAGCUGCCUAAUGGCAGCCGUCAGCCUUAGGUCACUCGCUGCUUAAGUAACUGGCGUCGACUUUGCGAGGAACUUUGUUGCCAAAGCUUUGAGGCAGCAAAAGCAAUAUGAAGCUACCAAGGGUAACAGCCCGUCAUUUGGCGGUUGUCUGAGGGAAUGUUAAAAAGAUGACUGUGAUGGAAGAUGCCUGAAUUAAAGAUACUUCGGACAGGAGUUCGAUUCUCCUCAGGUCCACU